AAAUUGCCGGUAGUUUAUACAAAUGGCAAUGGAUCAUACACACACAUUCAGACAUUGAGCGGUAAGGUCCAAUGUCGAGAGGAGAACAGUCCAGAGGUGGAGCUAAGGUACC